GACGAACGCUGGCGGCGUGCUUAACACAUGCAAGUCGAACGGAAAGGCCCUGCUUGCAGGGUACUCGAGUGGCGAACGGGUGAGUAACACGUGGGUGAUCUGCCCUGCACUUCGGGAUAAGCUUGGGAAACUGGGUCUAAUACCGGAUAGGAACCAUCUUUAGUGUGGUGGUUGGAAAGUUUUUUCGGUGUAGGAUGAGCUCGCGGCCUAUCAGCUUGUUGGUGGGGUAAUGGCCUACCAAGGCGGCGACGGGUAGCCGGCCUGAGAGGGUGUACGGCCACAUUGGGACUGAGAGACGGCCCAGACACCUACGGGAGGCAGAAGUGGGGAAUAUUGCACAAUGGGCGCAAGACUGAUGCAGAGACGCCGCGUGGGGGAUGAAGGCCUUCGGGUUGUAAACUCCUUUCGCGAGGGACGAAGUUUUUUGUGACGGUACCUAGAUAAGAAGCACCGGCUAACUACGUG
rnacentral:rRNA from 1 species